CUAAUACCGCGUACGCCCUGAGGGGGAAAGCAGGGGACUUGCUUGCAAGCCUUGCGAUGUCAGAUGAGCCCAAGCCGGAUUAGCUAGUUGGUAGGGUAAAGGCCUACCAAGGCGACGAUCCGUAGCUGGUCUGAGAGGAUGAUCAGCCACACUGGGACUGAGACACGGCCCAGACUCCUACGGGAGGCAGCAGUGGGGAAUAUUGGACAAUGGGGGCAACCCUGAUCCAGCCAUGCCGCGUGUGUGAAGAAGGUCUUAGGAUUGUAAAGCACUUUAAGUCAGGAGGAAGGCGCUCUGGUUAAUACCUGGAGUGAUUGACGUUACUGA
rnacentral:rRNA from 1 species